GGCUAAUACAACCAGUUGGAAAAAUGCGAUGGAUAAUCCAUUGGUGAGAGAACAUCUGAAGUGGUACUUUGCUAUCUUCUAAAGCUAGGUGAUGAUAUUCUGAUCUAUGAGAUGCAAGAAGAUGUGAUGUGUGGGACAUCCAUGAAAACUGAUUAAUGAGACCUGACACAAAUUAGAGAUCAAGCCCACUACGACCACCACCAUUUUUCUCUUCUAUCCUAUUUUUUUGUGACCUCUAGCAUGACCAUGAUGCCAAGAUCUCUAGCAGCCACAUAGUGACCUGAGGUAAAUCUGAGUAUGAAAAUCAUGUGCCAGGAUGGUGUAGAAAGAGGGUUUUGGAUCCUAUUGACAAUGGAAAGUUGGUCUUCCUACCUCUGAACCUCUUUAUGUAAGAGAAGUAACCUGAGUUUUAAAAGCCAUUAUUAUUUCCAUUUUCUCUGCUGAUGCAGACAAACACAAGUCCUAAUUUUAUAGAGACCUAAUACGUUCUGGACCUCAGAAAGAGAUUCCUGGAGGAAAUGUUGUUUUCAACCACUAACUCUGCUAAUUUCAGGCCAAGUGAGGCAUUAUAUAGACAGUCUGACCACUGCCACAGUUGCAUACGUUCUAAAUUUGAAAUAAAUCCCUUACUCUGUAUCACUUAUAGUGGAUCUGCUUCUCUGAUAAAACCCUCACUAAGAC
rnacentral:lncRNA from 10 species